UCGGAUUGCAGGUUGCAACCCGCCUGCAUGAAGUCGGAAUUGCUAGUAAUCGCGGAUCAGAAUGCCGCGGUGAAUACGUUCCCGGGCCUUGUACACACCGCCCGUCACACCAUGAGAGCCGGUAACACCCGAAGUCAGGGGCCUAACCGCAAGGAGGGCGCUGCCGAAGGUGGGAUUGGUAAUUGGGGUGAAGUCGUAACAAGGUACC
rnacentral:rRNA from 1 species